GAUGAACGCUGGCGGCGUGCCUAAUACAUGCAAGUCGAGCGAACGAACGAGAAGCUUGCUUCUCUGAUGUUAGCGGCGGACGGGUGAGUAACACGUGGAUAACCUACCUAUAAGACUGGGAUAACUUCGGGAAACCGUAGCUAAUACCGGAUAAUAUUUUGAACCGCAUGGUUCAAAAGUGAAAGACGGUCUUGCUGUCACUUAUAGAUGGAUCCGCGCUGCAUUAGCUAGUUGGUAAGGUAACGGCUUACCAAGGCAACGAUGCAUAGCCGACCUGAGAGGCGGAUCGCCGACCCGGGAACGUAGCCACGGACCAGAGGACUGAGGGAGGCAGCAGUAGGGAACGGGCCGCAACGGUCGGAAGCCUGACGGAGCAACGCCGCGUGAGUGAUGAAGGCCUUCGGUUCGUAAAAACCUGUUAUGAGGGAAGAACAUAUGUCUAAGGAACUGUGGACAUCGUGACGGUACCUAAACAGAAAGCCACGGCUAACUACGUG
rnacentral:rRNA from 1 species